UGCCAGCAGCCGCGGUAAUACGGAGGGUGCAAGCGUUAAUCGGAAUUACUGGGCGUAAAGCGUGUGUAGGCGGUCUGCUAAGUCGGAUGUGAAAGCUCCUGGCUUAACUGGGAGAGGUCGUUGGAAACUGAUUGGCUUGAGGCAAUGAGAGGGGUACGGAAUUCCAGGUGUAGUGGUGGAAUGCGUAGAUAUCUGGAGGAACAUCAGUGGCGAAAGCGGUACCCUGGCAUUGACCUGACGCUCAUGUGCGAAAGCGUGGGGAGCGAACGGGAUUAGAUA
rnacentral:rRNA from 1 species